rnacentral:rRNA from 1 species
GAUGAACGCUGGCGGCGUGCCUAAUACAUGCAAGUCGAACGCUGGAAAUCUAGCUUGCUAGAUUGAAGGAGUGGCGAACGGGUGAGUAAUACAUAAGCAACCUACCCACGAAGACUGGGAUAAUCUCUGGAAACGGGGACUAAUACCGGAUAGGUAAUCGGAAGGCAUCUUCUGAUUAUUAAAGGUUAAAAACACUGGUGGAUGGGCUUAUGGCGCAUUAGUUAGUUGGUGAGGAAACGGCCCACCAAGACGAUGAUGCGUAGCCGGCCUGAGAGGGUGAACGGCCACAUUGGGACUGAGACACGGCCCAGACUCCUACGGGAGGCAGCAGUAGGGAAUUUUCGGCAAUGGGGGAAACCCUGACCGAGCAACGCCGCGUGAGUGAUGACGGCCUUCGGGUUGUAAAGCUCUGUUGUAAGGGAAGAACGGUAGAUAGAGAAUAUCUAAAUGACGGUACCUUACCAGAAAGCCACGGCUAACUACGUG